CAGACAGGCAGGCAAGGAUACCAGCAGAGAAGCUUCAGGAGGUGGGGUCAGGAGCCUGCUCCUCUCUCUGAGCACUUUAAAAGGUUGUAAGCAAAGAUGUACAUGAGAGGAAGAACUAAAGAUGAUGAUGGUUUGAAGGGUGUGAAACUUCACAGAACUUUGAUGACAAUGAUGAAGAACACACUAAAAGUUCUAUGGAGGCCUCUUCUUUUGCACUGUCAGCAGUGAGAGAAACAGAAAUGAAGCUGCAGACAUAUGAUGAGUCCCAGGUGAAAGUAAAAGGAUGAGAGGUAUUCAGUGUCCCCUGUUUUUUUGUGAUCACCCAUAUGGCUGCAAAAAGGAGCAAACAGAAGAACUGUCAGUUUUGUGCUGGUGUCAUUGCACUGCUUAUACUUGGCAGGCAGGUGGAAUUUGAUCUUGCUCCUCCUCCACUCCUUGUAUCUAAUUCAAAGUGUUCAGAUUGUUUUAUAUGUUCAGAUUUUCACAAACUGCCUCCAGUGAUUAUAUUAAAAUGGCAACUAGUAUGGGGGAGGGAAAAAAAAAAAAGCAAGCCUAUCAUCCUAUGCUUCAUCUCAGCACCUCAAAUUGUAUCCCGUGAUCCUAAAAUAAACUUUCUAGUUAUUACAUCUGGGCUGCAACCAAAGUGGGUAUUUUUCCUAUGCCCUAAAUAAAUGAAGAUUAAUUUAUUCGAUCAAAGUCAUUUGGUGCCCUAAUUUGGAAGGAUACCUAAUGGAUUUACUUAAUUUUUGUUUUCUUUUUCCUUAGCAGUAACUUCCACAAGACAGAGUUUUGAGGAUUGGAAACUAUGCAGUAUUACAGCUAUCACUAAAUGGGUAUCCAGUAUGUCCACCUUGGCCAAAGCCUGGUAAAACUGAUAUGGCUGCCACACGCAGCUGAAUUUAUUGCCCUGUGGUCAUUUCUUUUCACAAACUGUCUGAAGCCAGUGUUGUUUCCUUAGUUCUGCUAUUGUUACUUCUGCUAUUUUGAUGAAACUAGCAUGGAUAUGUUUUUGUAUGAAGGAGCACAUUAUCUUUUUUCUGCUGGUGACCUCUGAUUAAGCCAUUCUGGUGUGUAGCCUUUGCAGUACCAUCUGACAGUAAAUGGAGACUCUCGAUCUACAGGACACUCAUUAUUAUGAAAAUUGUAAUGUAGUUUUCUUCCUUCCUUUUUUUUUAACCAUCUAAUUAUUCAUGCAAAUUUGAUUAGAGAAGAAAAAGAUAUUUUUCUAACUAUAAGCAUUACCAGGGUUAAAAAAAUAAAAAUAAAAAAAUUAUUUGUGUAUUUUUGGCAUUAUUGAGAAGGGCGUGACAUCCUGCUCCUUCUCCAUUUCAGUCUUCAUUGUUUUCCUACAAAAAUGGUGGUGCACAGUUGUAGAUACUUUUAAAUCCCUCCUUCAGGAAGAAAGGGGCAGUGUAUGUGAAUAACUGUUCCGAUUGCCCAAGGCAGUCACCUAUCAUUGCUGUGUUAAGGACAGCAGCGUAAACUUCAAAGAGACUGGCAAAGGUGAUUUUUGCCUGCAAUGAAUAGAGAUAGCUGUUAAUAUCUUUGGUUUUAUCUUGACAUGGAUGACUGGACAGCAUUCAAAAUCUCUGUCUUGGAAAUAUGACUUGUC